AAUGAACGCUGGCGGCAUGCCUAACACAUGCAAGUCGAACGAAGGCUUCGGCCUUAGUGGCGCACGGGUGCGUAACGCGUGGGAAUCUGCCCUCAGGUUCGGAAUAACAGCGAGAAGUUGCUGCUAAUACCGGAUGAUAUCGCGAGAUCAAAGAUUUAUCGCCUGAGGAUGAGCCCGCGUAGGAUUAGCUAGUUGGGGUGGUAAAGGCGCACCAAGGCGACGAUCCUUAGCUGGUCUGAGAGGAUGAUCAGCCACACUGGGACUGAGACACGGCCCAGACUCCUACGGGAGGCAGCAGUGGGGAAUAUUGGACAAUGGGCGAAAGCCUGAUCCAGCAAUGCCGCGUGAGUGAUGAAGGCCUUAGGGUUGUAAAGCUCUUUUACCCGGGAUGAUAAUGACAGUACCGGGAGAAUAAGCUCCGGCUAACUCCGUGCCAGCCGCCGCCGUAA
rnacentral:rRNA from 1 species